CGACCUGCACGAAUGGCGUAACGACUUCCCCACUGUCUCCAACAGAGACUCAGCGAAAUUGAAUUCUCCGUGAAGAUGCGGAGUUCCCGCGGUCAGACGGAAAGACCCCGUGCACCUUUACUACAACUUCGCAGUGGCGUUAGUGGCGAUAUGUGUAGGAUAGGCGGGAGGCUUUGAAACCGGAGCGCCAGUUCCGGUGGAGCCAUCCUUGAAAUACCGCCCUUAUCCUCAUUGACGUCUAACCGCGGUCCAUGAACCUGGAUCCGGGACCCUGCGUGGUGGGUAGUUUGACUGGGGCG
rnacentral:rRNA from 1 species